rnacentral:rRNA from 1 species
UACAGAGGUCCCAAGCGUUACUGAGAAUCACUGGUUUAAAGGGUGCGUAGGUGGUCCGUUAAGUCAGUUGUGAAAAUCCCCCGGGCUCAACCCCGGGAACUGCUUCUGAUACUGGCGGACUUGAGGCCAGUAGGGGGUCACUGGAACUGACGGUGGAGCGGUGAAAUGCGUAGAUAUCGUCAGGAACGCCGGUGGUGAAGACGGGUGACUGGGGCUGGUUCUGACACUGAGGCAC